AACGAACGCUGGCGGCGUGCCUAACACAUGCAAGUCGAGCGCGAAAGUUCCUUCGGGAAUGAGUAGAGCGGCGGACGGGUGAGUAAUACGUGGGUAAUCUGCCCCCGAGCUCGGGAUAACAGUGCGAAAGCGCUGCUAAUACCGGAUAAGACCACAUGACAUAUGUUGUGCGGUAAAAGGUGGCUUUAUUUUCGGAUGAGGCUAUCACUUGAGGAUGAGCCCAUGGCCUAUCAGCUUGUUGGUGAGGUAAAAGCUCACCAAGGCGAUGACGGGUAGCUGGUCUAAGAGGACGACCAGCCACACUGGGACUGAGACACGGCCCAGACUCCUACGGGAGGCUG
rnacentral:rRNA from 1 species